CGUGCAUACCCUCUCUCAGAUGCUAUCACGUGUCCCACCUACUCAUCUGACGAUAUCUGCUCCUCCGCUCCGUUCGUGGCUUCUCUCGGCUCCGAAACGAAAGCUCGGCUCCAAACUACAUGUGAUCCCGGCUCCUUGACGAGACGAGGCCAGCGGAGGUGGAGGCCCACGCAGCCGAGUCGGCUCAGGGCAUCCCUUUCCUUUCUCUGCCAGUCGCCGGCUCCAAGGUCCGCCGCCGGAGUCCCCUGCCCCGCCGCCUCGUGCGCCACGAUGGAGGACAGGACGCGCCGCUCGCCCCCUCCUUCUCCGCCUCAGGCGGCGGCCUCUCCCUCCACCACGGGCACCUACUGCAUCUCGCCCAUAACUGCUUCAUGUAUAAAAGCUUGUGGCAGACUUCAAGGAGAAAUUGUCAAAUCCACGACCGUGAGGGACUAGUGAACAAAGAGAGAACGGGACGCCACAUACUCGUGCAGCAGCCACGCUCCGCUGGACAAAGACCCUCAAGUACACCACUGCAACAAAACAACUGCCGAGGAAACCUUUGGAGAAGACUCCAUGCUUCCUAAUAGAGUAGACUUGGCCUAGGAAUAUCAAAUUUUGUAAAUUUGGAGUUGGACAACUGUUGUAUCGCUGUAGAGCUGAUUGCUCUCCUUGACAAUGUACAAUAACUUGUGUACAGUGUACCUUUUCAUUUGAAAUACAUAUGGAUGAUUUGAA